rnacentral:rRNA from 1 species
UACGAAGGGGGCUAGCGUUGUUCGGAAUUACUGGGCGUAAAGCGCACGUAGGCGGACAUUUAAGUCAGGGGGUGAAAAUCCCAGAGCUCAACUCUGGAACUGCCUUUGAUACUGGGUGUCUUGAGUAUGGAAGAGGUGAGUGGAAUUCCGAGUGUAGAGGUGAAAUUCGUAGAUAUUCGGAGGAACACCAGUGGCGAAGGCGGCUCACUGGUCCAUUACUGACGCUGAGGUGACGAA